AACAAACAGGCCAAGUUAAGACCCAUUACAGUAAAAAAGGAGGUUAGAAAAAUCUACCGAAAGAAAAAUUACAUUUUUUUAAAAAGUAAAAUUUAUACAAAAAAUUUAAUCUACUAUUUUCUUAUUUUUGACGCCUCGAAAUUUUGGCAAAAAACUGGGAUUAGAUACCCCACUAUUCAAAAUAUAAACUUCAUUAUUACUUACUUGAGAAUUACGAGCACGUUGAUAUUACUUUGCGUUUCAACUUCCCCCGCUUAAAACUCAAAAAACUUGGCGGUGCCUUAAAUCCUUCUAGGGGAACCUGUCCUAUAACUGAUAAUCCACAUUUUACCUUUCCUUAUUUUGUAUACCAUUUUAAAAAUGAAACAGCCUGUAUACCGUCGUCGCCAGACUACCUACAAAAGAUUACCAGUAGUCUCCCCAAUUAAAUAAAAUAAAUAUACCAGUCAUCUGAGUAGUUUUUUAUUAUUUCCCACGUCAGAUCAAGGUGCAGCUUAUAAUAAGGCAGAGAUGGGUUACAAUAGUGACUCACUAAACGAAUUUCUUGUUGCAAUACAGGACUUGAAGGCGGACUUAGAAGUAAUUUACUGAAUAGAGAGCUUUUUUGAAUAUGGUACUAAGGUGUGU
rnacentral:rRNA from 1 species